GUUUUCCUCCACUUGGGAUUCUAAGUUUAUUCAAAGCACAUAAGCAUAUGAGGACUUCCCAAAAUGUAGAGCAAUCCCUGCUGCAUGAAAACAGACAGAUUGCAUUUAUUUCCAUUAUAAUGGGGAUAAUGUUUAUCGCAUCAAUUACUGUUGUACUUUUGUUGCUUCUUCUACAUUAUCAACAAGAAGCUGAUGCAAUGAAGCUAACAUGGAAAAGAAAGUACUAUCAUACGACUUUAAAUCUUACCAUUGGAUUUCACAAAAACUGAAUAGAUUGUAUGCUGUAAACUUAACAUAUCUUUAUAGAUAAAGAUAUUAAAGUCUGUAAAAAUAAAAUAGUUAAACAACCCA